AGUGAACGCUGGCGGUAGGCCUAACACAUGCAAGUCGAACGGCAGCACAGUAAGAGCUUGCUCUUACGGGUGGCGAGUGGCGGACGGGUGAGGAAUACAUCGGAGUCUACUUUUUCGUGGGGGAUAACGUAGGGAAACUUACGCUAAUACCGCAUACGACCUACGGGUGAAAGCAGGGGAUCUUCGGACCUUGCGCGAUUGAAUGAGCCGAUGUCGGAUUAGCUAGUUGGCGGGGUAAAGGCCCACCAAGGCGACGAUCCGUAGCUGGUCUGAGAGGAUGAUCAGCCACACUGGAACUGAGACACGGUCCAGACUCCUACGGGAGGCAGCAGUGGGGAAUAUUGGACAAAGGGCGCAAGCCUGAUCCAGCCAUACCGCGUGGGUGAAGAAGGCCUUCGGGUUGUAAAGCCCUUUUGUUGGGAAAGAAAAGCAGCAGGUUAAUACCCCGCUGUUCUGACGGUACCCAAAGAAUAAGCACCGGCUAACUUCGUG
rnacentral:rRNA from 1 species